rnacentral:rRNA from 1 species
UACGGGGGGGGCAAGCGUUGUUCGGAAUUACUGGGCGUAAAGGGCUCGUAGGUGGCCAACUAAGUCAGACGUGAAAUCCCUCGGCUUAACCGGGGAACUGCGUCUGAUACUGGAUGGCUUGAAUCCGGGAGAGGGAUGCGGAAUUCCAGGUGUAGCGGUGAAAUGCGUAGAUAUCUGGAGGAACACCGGUGGCGAAGGCGGCAUCCUGGACCGGCAUCGACGCUGAGGCGCGAAAGCCAGGGGAGCAAACGGG